rnacentral:rRNA from 1 species
UGAACGCUGGCGGCGUGCCUAAUACAUGCAAGUCGAGCGAACAGAUGAGGAGCUUGCUCCUCUGACGUUAGCGGCGGACGGGUGAGUAACACGUGGAUAACCUACCUAUAAGACUGGGAUAACUUCGGGAAACCGGAGCUAAUACCGGAUAAUAUAUUGAACCGCAUGGUUCAAUAGUGAAAGACGGUUUUGCUGUCACUUAUAGAUGGAUCCGCGCCGCAUUAGCUAGUUGGUAAGGUAACGGCUUACCAAGGCGACGAUGCGUAGCCGACCUGAGAGGGUGAUCGGCCACACUGGAACUGAGACACGGUCCAGACUCCUACGGGAGGCAGCAGUAGGGAAUCUUCCGCAAAGGGCGAAAGCCUGACGGAGCAACGCCGCGUGAGUGAUGAAGGUCUUCGGAUCGUAAAACUCUGUUAUUAGGGAAGAACAAAUGUGUAAGUAACUAUGCACGUCUUGACGGUACCUAAUCAGAAAGCCACGGCUAACUACGUG